UUCCGGUUGAUCCCGCCGGACCUGACUGCUAUCGGAUUGAUACUAAGCCAUGCGAGUCAUUGUAGCAAUACAAGGCAGACGGCUCAGUAACGCGUAGUCAACCUAACCUAUGGACGGGAAUAACCUCGGGAAACUGAGAAUAAUGCCCGAUAGAACACUAUACCUGGAAUGGUUUGUGUUCCAAAUGAUUUAUCGCCAUAGGAUGGGACUGCGGCCUAUCAGUUUGUUGGUGAGGUAAUGGCCCACCAAGACUAUUACAGGUACGGGCUCUGAGAGGAGUAGCCCGGAGAUGGGUACUGAGACACGGACCCAGGCCCUAUGGGGCGCAGCAGGCGAGAAAACUUUGCAAUGUGCGAAAGCACGACAAGGUUAAUCCGAGUGAUUUGUGCUAAACGAAUCUUUUGUUAGUCCUAGAAACACUAACGAAUAAGGGGUGGGCAAGUUCUGGUGUCAGCCGCCGCGGUAAAACCAGCACCUCAAGUGGUCAGGAUGAUUAUUGGGCCUAAAGCAUCCGUAGCCGGCUCUGUAAGUUUUCGGUUAAAUCUGUACGCUCAACGUACAGGCUGCCGGGAAUACUGCAGAGCUAGGGAGUGGGAGAGGUAGACGGUACUCGGUAGGAAGGGGUAAAAUCCUUUGAUCUAUUGAUGACCACCUGUGGCGAAGGCGGUCUACCAGAACACGUCCGACGGUGAGGGCUGAAAGCUGGGGGAGCAAACCGGAUUAGAUACCCGGGUAGUCCCAGCUGUAAACUAUGCAAACUCAGUGAUGCAUUGACUUGUGGUCAAUGCAGUGCUGCAGGGAAGCCGUUAAGUUUGCCGCCUGGGAAGUACGUACGCAAGUAUGAAACUUAAAGGAAUUGGC
rnacentral:rRNA from 1 species